AUUUAAUUUUAGACGAUUGACGGGCAUCUCAUCUUUAAAGAUGCGCUUUGCGAGAGCGUUCUUGGAAAAUCGCGUUUGAUUUCGGUUUCUAUUCCAGUCUGCGGCUUUCUGAUUAUUAUGGGCUUUUUUUUUUUCUUCUUUCUUUGGCUGACGUAGCGCCGCGUGCGGGGCGCUCCCCGAUGGGCGCAGGUCCGCGGGCGGCGGCAUUCUCACACACGCGCGGCCGCGGGGAGGGGAGCUAAGUUAGUUACUUUCUGUCUGCGAAGGACUUGGUAGCGUUUUCCCAACCGGAGCCCCGCUGGGCAGUGCGCACACGGUGGCUUCUAGAGAAAACGUAUGAGCCAUCCUUCGCUGGAACAACGGGGAGUACGCGCGCACGCGUUCCCCCGGAGAUUGCGUUCCGAAACUUCGGUAUUCAGCGAAACCCCUGUUCUAAAAGCUUCACUGUUUUCCAGGAAGAGUGGCAGUGUAGAAGCCAAGAACAAAAAUUGGCAGAAAUUAUAUUCUGUAUACGAGAGAAUGAAGAGUAUACUCAUGACUAAGCACAGGAACCUGGAAAACCACAGGAUUCCUGGGAAGCCACGGAGGAUGGGGUGAACUCAGAGCUGGAGCAUGAGGAGUUUUUUGGAACUUGUGAAUGGGAAGUUAUCCUGGUAAGAAGUGACCAAGUGCCACCACCACUGUGUUUAUAAAUACAUUUGGCUGUUCUUGUUUUUCUUUAGGUUCUAGGAAGGCUUUCUGUCUAAACCUUUAAAUUGCUUCUGAGAGAACAUGGUGAUCCCACAAAUGUUCACAGAUGACCAAGUCACCUUGUACAAAGUGAGAACACAUUUGCAGGCAGUUUAUUUCACUGACCAUCAUGUUUGCUCAUCACUUACUUAUGUAUGGUGACCCGCUUAGCAUAGCUGGGGUGGAUGAAGUGUGCAGAACUAAGGCAUGUAUGGCCACGUAAUUCUCAUUGUUAUCACUUAUUAAGCAAAACAGCUAAGCAGUUCAUCCAACUUAAAUGUGGCUAUUUACAAAGGCUUUGAAAUUUUUUUUUCUGAUGUAGUACAGGUCAGCAUAUGCUUGUGGCUUUGUCAAACACUGCUGAGUUCAUUAGUUUGUGCCGAUGUGUUGAGAACAGAAAAUGAAAAUGUUACGGGUACAAAAUUUUAAUGUGGUCUCCCAUUACAUCAAGUGUUUGCCAAAAUAUUAAAUAAAACUGUUAACUAAGCAACGUGCUGCUCAAGAGUUCAAUCUACAGACGCUUCUCUGUGCUAAUUAGGAAGUAUUGACAUCAAUGAAUGAAACUACUUGUUAAAGUGCCUUCUACAGUCUGUAGCAGUUAUGUGUUCAUGAGAUGAUUCAUAGCAUUCAGCAAGUUGUGAUGAGUUUCCCUGCCAUUACUGGAGAUUAUGAAGUAUCUACUGUAUUUGCACUCCUUUUUUUUUUAAAUUAAAUUUGAUGGUGGAAAGGGGAAGAAUUUUCUAUCAACUGAAAGAUCAGGCCUAUUUUCUGAAUUCAUUCAUUAUUUUUCUCUUUACUGUAUGGUGCAAUCUAUCAUUAACAAUAAAAUGAAAUGUUUAAUUGUUUUGUCCAUAAAUACAGCAGUGUGU
rnacentral:lncRNA from 7 species